rnacentral:rRNA from 1 species
UACGGAGGGUGCAAGCGUUGUUAGGAUUUACUGGGCGUAAAGGGCGCGUAGGCGGCCACCGCAAGUCAAUUGUGAAAUCUCCGGGCUUAACUCGGAAAGGUCAACUGAUACUGCGGGGCUAGAGUGCGGAAGGGGCAACUGGAAUUCUCGGUGUAGCGGUGAAAUGCGCAGAUAUCAGGAAGAACACCGGUGGCGAAGGCGGGUCUCUGGGCAACAACUGACGCUGAGGAGCGAAAGCGUGGGGAGCGAACAGG